rnacentral:rRNA from 1 species
AGGAGGCAGUUUGAGCAUGCUAACCUAGAGGCAAUGGAUGAAUCCGCUGAAUGGAGAAUGAAAUACGACACGGAAUUGGCGAAAACCAGGGACCUGCAAGAUGAACUUUUAAAGGUCAAGACCUCACUGUCUGAUUCAACCAAGAGAUUUGAAGAGUUACAAAAGGAUAAUGAGAUGUUGAAGAGGCAGACUGAAUCCAUGAAACUGGAGUGCAAUUGCACCAUUCCAUUGAAUAUUACUCAGGAAUAA